CUUGAAAUCACAUUAGUUGUAUUAUCAAGGGGGAAAAUUUGGAAAAUGUGGAUCUGCCACUCAUACUUCCCUGCCCUGAUAAUGUUUUCAGCAUCUAACAGAUCAUAUAUUAAGUCACUAACCAGAUUAGCCACCUGCUCCGCAUUUCUAGGACUCACCACCUUUCCCAUGAUGCUCCACUUCAGCUCAAAGACACCAGACUUUGGGACAACGGUUGUCUCCUCAAGCCUUCGUUUUCUGGAGAGCCACUUACCAAACAAGCUGGGUUACUGUAUCUCAUGGAAACUUCCAAGAUGUAGUUAUCUGUAAGCUCUCUGAGUGCUGGAACCUGAAAAGCCAUCGGGAGUCAUCAUCUCAAUUGACACUUUUACAAAUCAUUCUGUACCCACCUAAUAAUAAUAAUAACAAUAAAUAACGAUGAUGAUAAUUAGCA
rnacentral:lncRNA from 1 species